rnacentral:lncRNA from 1 species
GGGAGGUGACAGUUGAUAGUUGUGAAAGUUGUUGUCUCUGAGAUUCGUGAAACACGCCGCUUUUUAGAAUGCCUCUGAAAGAACAAAGAAGUCACUGGCACUCGACUAUAAUAUGCUAAAAAGUUUCUGGUUCCAACAGCACACAGCCAGCAUCAGCCAUUUAAAGUUUUGGCAACUGAAACUGUAAGUCACAAGGCAUUAGAUGCAGAUAUAUACAGUGCAAUUCCAACAGAAAAAGUGGAUGGAACAUGUUGUUAUGUUACUACCUAUAAAGAUCAGCCAUACCUUUGGGCUCGACUAGAUAGAAAACCCAACAAACAAGCUGAAAAAAGAUUUAAAAAUUUUCUACAUUCAAAAGAAAACCCAAAAGAAUUUUUUUGGAACGUUGAGGAGGACUUCAAACCAGCUCCGGAGUGCUGGAUACCAGCAAAGGAGACAGAACAAAUAAAUGGGAACCCAGUGCCUGAUGAAAAUGGACACAUUCCUGGUUGGGUACCAGUAGAGAAAA